rnacentral:rRNA from 1 species
UACAGAGGUCUCAAGCGUUGUUCGGAUUCAUUGGGCGUAAAGGGUGCGUAGGUGGCGGGGUAAGUCAGGUGUGAAAUUUCGGAGCUUAACUCCGAAACUGCAUUUGAUACUGCCUUGCUUGAGGACUGGAGAGGAGACUGGAAUUCACGGUGUAGCAGUGAAAUGCGUAGAGAUCGUGAGGAAGACCAGUGGCGAAGGCGGGGUCUCUGGACAGUU